rnacentral:rRNA from 1 species
AGUGAACGCUGGCGGUAGGCCUAACACAUGCAAGUCGAACGGCAGCACAGUAAGAGCUUGCUCUUACGGGUGGCGAGUGGCGGACGGGUGAGGAAUACAUCGGAAUCUACUUUUUCGUGGGGGAUAACGUAGGGAAACUUACGCUAAUACCGCAUACGACCUACGGGUGAAAGCAGGGGAUCUUCGGACCUUGCGCGAUUGAAUGAGCCGACGUCGGAUUAGCUAGUUGGCGGGGUAAAGGCCCACCAAGGCGACGAUCCGUAGCUGGUCUGAGAGGAUGAUCAGCCACACUGGACCUGAGCCACGGUCCAGACUCCUACGGGAGGCAGCAGUGGGGAAUAUUGGACAAUGGGCGCAAGCCUGAUCCAGCCAUACCGCGUGGGUGAAGAAGGCCUUCGGGUUGUAAAGCCCUUUUGUUGGGAAAGAAAAGCAGCAGGUUAAUACCCCGCUGUUCUGACGGUACCCAAAGAAUAAGCACCGGCUAACUUCGU